ensembl:lncRNA
UUUGUAUUAAUUGUCUUAUACUAACACUCAGAUUCUUCUCUGUCAGGGGCAGAAAAGCUUCUCUCCCAGAGAUCCUUGGGUUCAGACUACAAUCUGGCUACUGCUUCAGUGCAGGAUGGUUCUACAGAGCAGCCAGAGAGUCCAGCUGACAUGAAUGAAUUGCGCAAAAAAGUGGAGGAAUUGAGUGCACAGAAUGCAGAGUUGGUUCUGAAAGUGCAGAUGCUGGAGACAUAUGAGAAAGAUGAAACCGACAUGCAGAACCCUGGGCCUGAUUUUGUGCCCACUGCGCUGUAUAACUCACUGAAAACAGAGUUGGAGAAACUACAGGAGCAAUGUUAUAAUGUCCAAGCUACAGCUGUGGCUUACAGCACAGCAGAAGAGUCGGGGACUAAGGAGAAAUUCAUGCAGAAGGAAAAUGAGACAUACAAAGAGGAUGGGGAAGAAGGAGACAUGAAGGAGAGACAGAACCUGCGUGUGAACAGUUUGGAAGAGCAGCUGAUCCAGACACAGGCUGAACUGAAACAUCUGAGGGAGCAGGUGCAAGUUGGAGUUUCCUCAGUGGAGCAAGCUGAAGGGGGAUCUGCUGGGAGGGUUGAGAGUAUUCCAGACAACCAACAGCUACAACAAAGAGUCAAAGAGUUGGAGGCUGCACUCACAGAGAGAGAGGCUCAAUGCAUCAGCACAGAGAACAUUAUCAGAAAUCUUCAGGAGAAGGUUGAGGAGUUAGAGACAGAGGCCCUGACAGAAAAGACCAAGGAGGAAAUGGAGCACAGAGAAAAAAGGAAUGAAGAGAGUGAGACUGUGAAGAAACUGAAGGAAAGCAUAAAUGAGCUGGAGGUAUCACUGGCAGAAAAGUUGCAGAAAGCUGGGGGGGGGAGAGAAGAGCAGGUGCAGGAAGAAAGUGAGAAGGUGCAACAGCUCCAGGCUAGGGUGGAGGAGCUGGAAAUGCAGCUGAGAGUUUGUGUGCCUCAGGAGGAACUGGAUGAGGUGCGUAUUUCCCUCGGCUUUCAGCUGGACCAACUGGAUAGAGAAAGGGCACAGCUAGCCUUGAGGCUCAACAAUGCUUUGCUGGAACUGGAGAGACUACGGUCCCCAACCCAUAUGAAUGAGCAUGAUGAAGAAGAAGAAGAUGAUGACCAUUCAGAAGAAUCUGAACCGUCAAUCAUGUCAGAGCAAUCCUUACAGAUCACAGGUGGUAGGACACUGGCGUCAGUGAAGGAGGAACUGGAGGUGGUGCGACAGGAAGCUGCUCAGGCACUAGACUGCCUGUGUGCAGAGCGAGAAGGCAGGGUUCAGGAUGCCUUGAAGAUGAAGGAUGCAGUACCUUUAUCCCAGCACCAGGAGGCUAUGGCAGCCUUGUCAGAGCAGCUGGUCCGGACAACACAUGAGCUUCAAGAAGAACACACUCUCAGAUGCCAUGCUCAGACUGAAAUGACCAGAAUGGAGGAAGAGUUACAGGCAGCACAGCACAAACUUGUUAGUAAGGAAGAGGAGCAUGAGAGGGAUAAGACAGAACUUCAGCGCUCAUUAGAGGAGAGUGUAAGAAGUGCACAGGUAGCACAAGAUGCUCUGAAUGAGAAGGAUACAGAGCUAAAGGACCUCAAAUCCCAGAAAGCAAUGCAGCAAGGUCUGGUGUCACAGGAGGACCACAUGGCCCAACGUCUCUCCCUGCAAGCUGAAAUAAACACAUUGACAGCGCGCUUUGCUAACCUCACAUGUAAACAUGAGAAGACCUGCACUGAGGUCAGCCUGUGAUUUUUUUUCCACAGAGAGGUUAUUUACACUAGCAAAUGAAAAAGAUUCUGGUGAUUCAUAAGGAGUAAAGCAUAC